rnacentral:rRNA from 1 species
CUACGGGGCGCUGCAGUGAGGAAUAUUGCACAAUGGGGGGAACCCUGAUGCAGCAACGCCGCGUGGAGGAUGACGCAUUUCGGUGUGUAAACUCCUUUUAUAUGUCAAGAAAAUGACGGUAGCAUAUGAAUAAGCACCGGCUAACUCCGUGCCAGCAGCCGCGGUAAUACGGAGGGUGCAAGCGUUACUCGGAAUCACUGGGCGGAAAGGACGCGUAGGCGGGCUUGGAAGUCAGGUGUGAAAUCCUACAGCUUAACUGUAGAACUGCACUUGAAACUACGAGCCUAGAGUAUGGGAGGGGGAGAUGGAAUUAGUGGUGUAGGGGUAAUAUCCGUAGAUAUCACUAGGAAUACCUAAAGCGAAGGCGAUCUCCUGGAACAUAACUGACGCUAAGGCGUGAAAGCGUGGGGAGCAAACAGGAUUAGAUACCCUUGUAGUC